GACGAACGCUGGCGGCGUGCUUAACACAUGCAAGUCGUACGGUAAGGCCCUUUCGGGGGUACACGAGUGGCGAACGGGUGAGUAACACGUGAGUAACCUACCCACAACUUUGGGAUAACGCUAGGAAACUGGUGCUAAUACUGGAUAUGUGCCCCUGCUGCAUGGUGGGGGUUGGAAAGCUCCGGCGGUUGUGGAUGGACUCGCGGCCUAUCAGCUUGUUGGUGGGGUAGUGGCCUACCAAGGCGGCGACGGGUAGCCGGCCUGAGAGGGUGACCGGCCACAUUGGGACUGAGAUACGGCCCAGACUCCUACGGGAGGCAGCAGUGGGGAAUAUUGCACAAUGGGCGCAAGCCUGAUGCAGCAACGCCGCGUGCAGGAUGACGGCCUUCGGGUUGUAAACCGCUUUCAGCAGGGACGAAGCUUUUUGUGACGGUACCUGCAGAAGAAGCACCGGCUAACUACGUG
rnacentral:rRNA from 1 species